UACGUAGGGUCCGAGCGUUGUCCGGAAUUAUUGGGCGUAAAGAGCUCGUAGGCGGUUUGUCGCGUCUGCUGUGAAAUCUAGAGGCUCAACCUCUAGCGUGCAGUGGGUACGGGCAGACUGGAGUGGUGUAGGGGAGAUUGGAAUUCCUGGUGUAGCGGUGAAAUGCGUAGAUAUCUGGAGGAACAUCAGUGGCGAAGGCGGCAUUCUGGAC
rnacentral:rRNA from 1 species